rnacentral:rRNA from 1 species
AGGAAUAUUGGUCAAUGGGCGAGAGCCUGAACCAGCCAAGUAGCGUGCAGGAUGACGGCCCUAUGGGUUGUAAACUGCUUUUAUAAGGGAAUAAAGUGAGCCUCGUGAGGCUUUUUGCAUGUACCUUAUGAAUAAGGACCGGCUAACUCCGUGCCAGCAGCCGCGGUAAUACGGAGGAUCCGAGCGUUAUCCGGAUUUAUUGGGUUUAAAGGGAGCGUAGAUGGAUGUUUAAGUCAGUUGUGAAAGUUUGCGGCUCAACCGUAAAAUUGCAGUUGAUACUGGAUAUCUUGAGUGCAGUUGAGGCAGGCGGAAUUCGUGGUGUAGCGGUGAAAUGCUUAGAUAUCACGAAGAACUCCGAUUGCGAAGGCAGCCUGCUAAGCUGCAACUGACAUUGAGGCUCGAAAGUGUGGGUAUCAAACAGGAUUAGAUACCCUGGUAGUCCACACGGUAAACGAUGAAUACUCGCUGUUUGCGAUAUACAGCAAGCGGCCAAGCGAAAGCGUUAAGUAUUCCACCUGGGGAGUACGCCGGCAACGGUGAAACUCAAAGGAAUUGACGGGGGCCCGCACAAGCGGAGGAACAUGUGGUUUAAUUCGAUGAUACGCGAGGAACCUUACCCGGGCUUAAAUUGCAGAUGAAUUACGGUGAAAGCCGUAAGCCGCAAGGCAUCUGUGAAGGUGCUGCAUGGUUGUCGUCAGCUCGUGCCGUGAGGUGUCGGCUUAAGUGCCAUAACGAGCGCAACCCUUGUUGUCAGUUACUAACAGGAUUUGCUGAGGACUCUGACAAGACUGCCAUCGUAAGAUGUGAGGAAGGUGGGGAUGACGUCAAAUCAGCACGGCCCUUACGUCCGGGGCUACACACGUGUUACAAUGGGGGGUACAGAGGGCCGCUACCACGCGAGUGGAUGCCAAUCCCCAAAACCUCUCUCAGUUCGGACUGGAGUCUGCAACCCGACUCCACGAAGCUGGAUUCGCUAGUAAUCGCGCAUCAGCCACGGCGCGGUGAAUACGUUCCCG